rnacentral:rRNA from 1 species
AUGACGUACGACAUCCUUCGCCGCCGCCCCAUCUCCGAUCUCCCUUCGCCGCCGCCCUCGCACUCGCAUCAAGUCGCCGCCGAUCCCUGCGCCACCUCCACCCUGCGCCACCACUCCUAUGACGCCGCCUCCCGCCAGUCUCCACCAGCACCGCGACAUCCGGCCGUCGUCAAGGCCGUAUCCAUCCAGCAGCACGCUGGCAUCCCAAUCAUCACCUUCCGCGGUGUCAUCGCCCAGGCCCAGUCUGGGGCCGGCAAGACGUCCAUGAUCUCCCUCUUCGUCUGCCAGGUUAUCGAGACCAACGUCCACAAGUAA